UAGAGAAUGGCAUGAUAUCCUUCCUUCUUCAUUUACUUUACAUUCAUUUCCAAGUGGAUAUGACUUUUUUGUACGCAACACAGCUGAUUAGGUUCAUCCAAUUAUACAGUAUUUGGAGCAUAGUAUGUUUGGCUUUUAUUUUGAUGGGGGGAUUUCGGGUCCGACGACACGCCCACUGCUGCUGAGCUGCGCGUUGACAGGGAGCACACCGGUGCCACCUAAUUAGUGCAGCAUGUUGGUGGCUUUAUAAGAAGCACGUUUGAGUUGGGCUUUUUAACUUCUCUUCCGUGUGCAUCCUGUGUGGGCAGAAAAGGUCUUUGGUCUAUAUCUUCCUGUCACUUUCCCCUGUUCCAGUCUCCAAUGUUGCCAUAAUACCAAGUCUAAAUGAAGUUGAACUCAUCAGCACUGUGAGUUUUGUCUGCUCUGCAUCCGGCUCCUCUCUUUCAUUUAUUUGGCUGAAUGGCAGCUCUGAGGUAACAG